AUAAAGCCCAACCUCAGAUCACGGGGCAUCCUAGCUGACGGCCGGGAGACACGUACAGCAGACGGAUCGACCUAGCGCAAUGCAGCCCAAAGAGGAGCAGCUUGUAGCGAGCAGAAGCUCUGAGAGGAGUGGAGACCGGGGGCCAAAGUGAUCUGGAAUGGAACAGCCCCAGGAUCUGGAAUGGCACAACAGAGGAUGGUCUCUGUGCACACACAGGGUUUUCAUGCAAUAGGCCACGUUGGCUUCCAGAACUAAGUCCAACAGAGGGUUCAUCACCCAACUGCCUCCCAGGGAGCCUGCCUUCAAUCUCAGCCGUGUUGUGAAAACCUCUGGAAAAAGAACAUGCUCCCACCAGACCACUUGGUCCAGAGACUUUAGGCAUCAGCCUCAUCUGGCUCAAGAUGGCAACUUCAACCAGACCCUGAGCCGUCGGCAUCUUCUGCCUCCGUCGUUGAGCUGAAAAUCCAGGAUCGCAGCAAGUUCCUGGACACCGUGAUCUCUCUCUUGUCUUUAGGGCAGGAGAGGAGCUGGGACUGAUUCCACCCCACCCCGCAAAGGAGCUGGGAUGGACCCCAACCUUCAGAGGAGCCGGAGCCGACCCUACCUCACAGAGGAGCUUGCCAGGGAUCCCGAGGGCCUGGGGAAGCCCU